AGAGUUUGAUCCUGGCUCAGGACGAACGCUGGCGGCGUGCCUAAUACAUGCAAGUUGAACGCUGAAGACUGGUACUUGUACCAGUUGGAUGAGUAGCGAACGGGUGAGUAACGCGUGGGUAACCUACCUCUUAGCGGGGGACAACUAUUGGAAACGAUAGCUAAUACCGCAUAACAAUACUUAACACAUGUUAAGUAUUUGAAAGCACCAAUUGGUGCACUAAGAGAUGGACCCGCGUUGUAUUAGCUAGUUGGUAGUGUAAUGGACUACCAAGGCGAUGAUACAUAGCCGACCUGAGAGGGUGAUCGGCCACAUUGGGACUGAGACACGGCCCAAACUCCUACGGGAGGCAGCAGUAGGGAAUCUUCGGCAAUGGACGAAAGUCUGACCGAGCAACGCCGCGUGAGUGAAGAAGGUUUUCGGAUCGUAAAACUCUGUUGUUAGAGAAGAACGUCAGUGAGAGUGGAAAGUUCACUGAGUGACGGUAUCUAACCAGAAAGGGACGGCUAACUACGUGCCAGCAGCCGCGGUAAUAAGGGCGAAUUC
rnacentral:rRNA from 1 species